rnacentral:rRNA from 1 species
AACGAACGCUGGCGGCAGGCUUAACACAUGCAAGUCGAACGGUUGUAGCAAUACAUCAGUGGCAGACGGGUGAGUAACACGUGGGAACCUUCCUAGGGGUACGGAACAACUCAGGGAAACUUGAGCUAAUACCGUAUACGUCCGUGAGGAGAAAGAUUUAUCGCCCUUAGACGGGCCCGCGUCGGAUUAGCUAGUUGGUGGGGUGACGGCCUACCAAGGCGACGAUCCGUAGCUGAUCUUAGAGGAUGAUCAGCCACACUGGGACUGAGACACGGCCCAGACUCCUACGGGAGGCAGCAGUGGGGAAUCUUGGACAAUGGGCGCAAGCCUGAUCCAGCCAUGCCGCGUGAGUGAAGAAGGUCUUCGGAUUGUAAAGCUCUUUUGCCAGGGACGAUAAUGACGGUACCUGGAGAAUAAGCCCCGGCAAACUUCGUGCCAGCCGCCGCAGUAAGAC